rnacentral:rRNA from 1 species
UACGUAGGGCGCAAGCGUUAUCCGGAAUUAUUGGGCGUAAAGAGCUCGUAGGCGGUUUGUCGCGUCUGCCGUGAAAGUCCGGGGCUCAACUCCGGAUCUGCGGUGGGUACGGGCAGACUAGAGUGCUGUAGGGGAGAUUGGAAUUCCUGGUGUAGCGGUGGAAUGCGCAGAUAUCAGGAGGAACACCAAUGGCGAAGGCAGAUCUCUGGGCCGUAACUGACGCUGAGGAGCGAAAGCAUGGGGAGCGAACAGG